AACGAACGCUGGCGGCAUGCCUAACACAUGCAAGUCGAACGAGACCUUCGGGUCUAGUGGCGCACGGGUGCGUAACGCGUGGGAACCUGCCUUAGGUUCGGAAUAACUCAGAGAAAUUUGAGCUAAUACCGGGAUAAUGUCUUCGGACCAAAGAUUUAUCGCCUUUAGAUGGGCCCGCGUAAGAUUAGCUAGUUGGUGGGGUAAAGCCUACCAAGGCGACGAUCUUUAGCUGGUCUGAGAGGAUGAUCAGCCACACUGGGACUGAGACACGGCCCAGACUCCUACGGGAGGCAGCAGUGGGGAAUAUUGGACAAUGGGCGAAAGCCUGAUCCAGCAAUGCCGCGUGAGUGAUGAAGGCCUUAGGGUUGUAAAGCUCUUUUACCCGAGAUGAUAAUGACAGUAUCGGGAGAAUAAGCUCCGGCUAACUCCGUGCCAGCAGCCGCGGUAA
rnacentral:rRNA from 1 species